rnacentral:rRNA from 1 species
AGGGUGUAAACGCUGCAGACUUGGUGUUGGGAACCCUUCGGGGUGCUCAGUGCCGGAGAGAAGUUGUUAAGUCUGCUACUUGGGAGUACGUCCGCAAGGAUGAAACUUAAAGGAAUUGGCGGGGGAGCACCGCAACGGGAGGAGCGUGCGGUUUAAUUGGAUUCAACGCCGAAAAACUCACCAGCAGCGACUGUUACAUGAAAGUCAGGUUGAUGACCUUACUAGAUUUCAGAGAGGAGGUGCAUGGCGUCAGUGACU